GCAUCACGGGGCCAAUCACCAAUCCCCAUUACGUCAGCUCCGCAAUAAGCCCAAAGCGUCCGCUGCCCGGCGGCGCACCCGUCGCCCGGAGCGUUCCUCGGCUGAGGAGCUGGGCUGCGCUUGGUGAGCGGGUGGACAGCUCCGCGCUGAGACCAGGCUCGCUUUUGCGAGCUGGGAGUGAAAGUAGGCGAGGUGAUGUUGGUGCAAGCUGUCAUUGUCGUUGCAUGUACUACUGGAAAAUGGACGACCACCCCGAUCGAAGCAGGAUGCGUAAACACAGGCUAUUGGAAAAUAUUUACGUGACACCAGAAUUUGUCUGGGAAUUCAGUUACCAAUCAAAAAUACCCAAAGAAGCCACUUUUACUACUCAAAGCUUCAUUUCAGCAGUUGUCACUAGACAAGAGCUCUUAACUCAAAUUCUUUAAACACAUAUGAGACUACCAAAAAAUCCUCCUGAGAGGUACAAUUCACCAUUAAAUACAAAAUCAAUUUAUAGACGUCUGCAAAAAUGGAACCUGUUUGGUACCCGGGGACGGACUGUACCUGAACAUAAAGAGUGUACAUCAAGAGCCCUGACCUGCUGGGGCUAUGGACAUGGCUCUUGAAGCUUCUUGGAAGACCAGUGAUCGUGGAGAGUAAAAUACUUCAUCAUCCAACUUCUUCAGGUUCCCGUGGUAAACAAUGCAAGAAUGUCCAGUUGGGGCAGCUGACUUUCCAGUCUAUAGAGCAGAAAAAAAUCCCACAAAAGUUAUUGAUCACCUCCAACCACUUCAAUUAUCAGUACUUACCAAACUAAUACAAGGCAAAUGUGUAUGACUUGUACGAUAAAGAUAUUUAACUAUUUUUGAGGUAGCAGUAUUCAGAAUUUAUGUAAUAUACCAAAUAGCAUUACAAUGUUUACACUUUAUGACACCACUUGAGCCCUUUGUUGGUUUAAGCUAGCAGAUCGCAGAUUCUGACUUGGAAGAGAGCUGUUACCAGACUAUCCUUCAAACAAAUACUACAGGAUGUGCUAAUUAACCACCUUGUAGGGAGCAAUUUCCUUUGCAAUGUCCCUGUUUUCCAAAAAAGUCUGUAAUUAGUGUAUCCUUUCUGAUACCAGACAUUGCAAAAACCAUUAGCUAAGAGGCCAUAUAUGUUUGCUGUUUAUAGCAUUAAAAUCACCAUAUCCACUAAUAUUUAAGUGGUAUUACCCACAAUGCUCUUAUCCUCAAGCACUUAAAAAGUCAAUUAAAAAUAUACAAAGUACUUGCUAUCCCCUUCUAAGGUUAAUGAUUCAAAAUGGAGUAUGGUUUCAGAGUCAGUACUCAUCCUAUGAUAAUAAAUGCCCAUUGUUUAUGUGUGGAUUUAACUAGUUAGCUUAUAGUAGAAUAUUUGAUUGUGGGUAACUCAGGAAUUCUAUUUUCUCAUUUAACUUUUGCAUCUUAUUUGGAAGCGCUGAGCUAUAUUCAGGCUGUUUGUGUUGCAUGUGAAAGGCCAUCAGUGUGUGAGAUUAAUGACAAAACCAACUAAUGCAAAAUAAAAUGUGAGUGUGAGUGAACAGUAACAUUAAAAAAAAAUCAUUUCUCCCUUUAGGAAACUUGGUGCAAUAGUGCAGCCUGCGCUUAAUUGAUCAGUCUUCAGCUCUGGUUGGAGCCUUGCCCAAUUUAUGACAUUUAGCACUAGUCCACUCAUAAUGAUAAUUUAAGUAUAUAGGAGACCAGUGCAUGCUCGUACAUCAAUGUGCUUGAAAUUGUCUAUAAUACUGACUGUAAAAUAUGACAGCUUUGGAAAUGGGCAUGUAAGCAUCAAAAAUUUCCAAUCCAUAUAGUUCAAGGCUCUGAAGCAAAAUUGGUGUCACAGUAUGUACCCCUUAAAUAUGCUGCUACAAGACCUUAUACUUAAAACUAAAUGGUCAGUCAUAUUAUCAAGGUUAUAGCCACUUAUCUUUCCAAAACGCAAUCUAAAAAAAAGGCUUGUACAUGAAAAUAUACAUAAAAACAGUCAGACAAAUGCACUUGAAAAUAUAUUUAGGACACUCUGGAUUUGGUUGGUGAUUGCCCACUACACCUUUGUGACUUUGAAUAUUGGCUUUGUCUUUAACGUCAUUUUACUGGUGUUAGGUUCUUUGCUCCUUGCCAAUGGCCGGGAUAUAUAUGUAUUUCUAAACUGCAAAGUUGUAAUGUUAUGUAUAAUUAUCUUGAUUCCAGUCUCUCCAUAAGGCACAAUCAGACUAAUACAAAAAAUAAAAAUGUUUCUUC